rnacentral:rRNA from 1 species
GUGUCAGCCGCCGCGGUAAUACGGGGGGGGCAAGCGUUGUUCGGAAUUACUGGGCGUAAAGGGCGCGUAGGCGGCCUUCUAAGUCGGACGUGAAAUCCCUCGGCUUAACCGGGGAACUGCGUCCGAUACUGGAGGGCUUGGAUCCGGGAGAGGGAUGCGGAAUUCCAGGUGUAGCGGUGAAAUGCGUAGAUAUCUGGAGGAACACCGGUGGCGAAGGCGGCAUCCUGGACCGGCAUCGACGCUGAGGCGCGAAAGCCAGGGGAGCAAACGGGAUUAGAAACCCUAGUAGUCC